AGUAUCUUUAUGCCUUUAAUUUGCUAUUGCUGUGCUACAAAAACUUAAGGCUGCAUUUCUCUAUUUCAGUGUUUGUGUCAGGACUGACUGGCUUGCUUCACUUUGAUUUAAUAUACUGUAAUUCAGUGAUGUGUUACCCUUGUGUGUUGUGGCUCCGUUUUUGAGCUUGUAGUAGGCAUUUUCUGUACCAUUGUCGUAGCUUUGUGCCUACAUCCUGCGUUACCCGUGCCUAGUUUGUUCUGCCUUGGAUUUUGGACUUUAUUCUUGUUUUUGUUUUUUCGCUUGUGGAGCGUCCGAGUGUGUACCUAUGU